GAACAGUUUCAUAUGUCUGUGGAAAGGCAUUAGCCAAUACUUCUGGGGCUGGUUGUGUGCUCAGUUUGGCUGCCUUCCAGAACUUACGCUGACACUUCUGGUGUGACUCAGGCGGACAGACUCACUGUGCUACAGGGAAGUCAAGCACAGCCCUGUGUUUGAGGGUCUGGCUUUACCCAGCACAACUUGAGUCUACCAAUACAAGGAAGGAAGGUGGCACCAGCAGCUAUCUCUGCGCCAGCGUCACUGGAGAAACAGUUGAAGCAUUUCUGAUGAUGAAGUUUGGACGGCAGAGGCAGAGUCACAACAGGAAGGCGGGACCAGGCCAAUCCGGGACUUUUAGGAUGGGAGUGGACCGGCUUACUCAAGAAGAGUCCCUUAACUUGGACUUUAUGAAGAUGUCAUAUGUAAUUAUCGGAACGACUAGCUGAAUUGUCUGAGGACCUCCCCAGCCCGCCCUCUGACACCCCUCGAAUCGGGAAGAAGUCACAACUUGUGUUAAAGAAGAGUGCACGCCAGUUGCACGUGGCACAGAGAACCCCUCCUGAACACCCCGUCUUUUCUUCCUGAUUCUUGUGCUGGAUUGUGCGAUAGCUCAGAGUAUGUCCUGGAGGAGCAAGCCUUGUGCCACCUGGUUUCUCCAGGAUGCCUGACCUCUAGUGAUGCCCUGACAGAUGUGGCAAUGGAUAUUUGACACAUUUUUCUCUAAGGAACUGACAUUGGUACCUGCCUUCUUAGCAGGUGCUCAGAAACUCUUGUUAUACCAUGAGAGAGUGGAAUUUCAGUGCUUUGUUGGAGUUUGUUUCUCUUUCUAAAUAUCCUUGGGGGCAAUGCCCUAAGACAUCCUCAAUAACAACAUCACACCUCUCCUGGGGAUCACUGGCUAGCACAUUGACAUCUAUCGAGAUAAGGCAAGCGCAGGGAAGAGCUGAGCAACCUGAGGCUUUGCUUAGUUUGGGCUAUGUACACCUCCCUUUAAUAAUGCACUUGGCGGCCCAGAUUCUUUAGAUUCACAUACCUCGUUCACAACCUUUUCUGAACAAUACACUCAGCAGUCUUGAACCCUCACCUGUAUAGGUUUGCAUGUACAAUUCCCUCUGGAUACUGGAAUAGGUUUCUCCUCCCCAAAUGGCCUUCAACCUUGGACAAUGUCUAUUCAAAUGUAUCCCUAGUGCAUCCUGUCCUACUAAGAGGAGGAGGGUUAAUACACUGUGGAUGAAUUCUGGGUACACAGGCAGUGAGGCAAAACAGGAUUCUCAAGUGGACUUUUAGGGAGAAUUCCCUAUUUAUCAUCUUCUGUCUAUGUGUAAUUGGUGUGCAUAUAAUUAAAAUCAGGUGCAUUACGGCAAGGAACAUGUGUACUAGAAAAACGAUUGCAUGACCUCAUCUAUAAUCCAAACAGAGAACCACCUUCAUUAUGUGCCUUAAAAACCAAACUCUUCCUCUUGAGCCCCAUAAGAGAAUGCACUAAACAAUAGUCAGGGCCCUCGCGUACGCUCACGCAUGCAGCCAGCUGUCAAUCUUGAGAAUGCACCCUCUCUAAUCUACAGCAUUGCUUUGCUGUGAAUAAAGUCACCUUGCUACCUCUGCAUGAGCCCUCGUUUCAUUUUGGAUAAGAUGCCAAGAGCCUGGAAGACCAGCUUAGACCUCAAACAGUGGCAUGGCUGUCACUUCAUCUCCACUUCCCUUCCAAGGACAUUUUCUCAGUGAAGCUUAGCUGCAGUCAGAAGGGCAGCUAGUCACUGUGGCUCCUUCUUGGCGUUUUCCUCAGAGACAUUAUUUCCUACGAGACAACAUGGAGACUUAACUUUCUCUCACUGUCCUCCGCUGUACCUGUCGUGUUUGCUCUCUUCCUUGGCCUCCACCCUCCACAUAUGGACAUAGUGGUACGUGAGUGGUGUGGUGAUGGUGAUCCGUGACUGCAUGGUUGUGAUUCUGCAAACACUCGUCCAAUUACGAGAGCCUUGAUAACAGUUCCUUCUCAGCACGGCUCUUUAUCUUUCCUAGAAGCAAUAAUGUGUAAACAAGUUCCAUAUUUGCUGAGUCUUCUUUGUGCUUCUACCAGGCAUAAUUGAAAACGGCGGCGGCUUGUGGACCAAACAUAGCUUCUGUGAGUGAAUCCCAUUGAAAUGCAUGGAACUCCUCUGUUUGUACACUGUCUCCAUGCAUUUUCUCUGUGAGACAGACGAGCUAGGCUGUCUGAUGAAGACUGAUAAACCAAAAUGUUUAUUAUCUGGCCUUUUAUAGGUGAAACUGGUCUUCUUUAAGCUUUUGCAAUCCAGUCUCAAAUCCCCACAUGUUCAGGAUCUUUUCACAAGGCCUUCAGAAGCAGUCAACUCUCUCUUGACUUCUGCCUUGAGUCAGGCUCCUUUGAAACAACCUGAAUUAGUUUCUGCCCUUUUGACUUAUAGAGAUUGCCACAAUUAUUUGUUUGCUUUGUGUGUGUGUGUGUGUGUGUGUGUGUGUGUGUGUAUGCCA